rnacentral:rRNA from 1 species
AGUGAACGCUGGCGGUAGGCCUAACACAUGCAAGUCGAACGGCAGCACAGUAAGAGCUUGCUCUUACGGGUGGCGAGUGGCGGACGGGUGAGGAAUACAUCGGAAUCUACUUUUUCGUGGGGGAUAACGUAGGGAAACUUACGCUAAUACCGCAUACGACCUACGGGUGAAAGCAGCGGAUCUUCGGACCUUGCGCGAUUGAAUGAGCCGAUGUCGGAUUAGCUAGUUGGCGGGGUAAAGGCCCACCAAGGCGACGAUCCGUAGCUGGUCUGAGAGGAUGAUCAGCCACACUGGAACUGAGACACGGUCCAGACUCCUACGGGAGGCAGCAGUGGGGAAUAUUGGACAAUGGGCGCAAGCCUGAUCCAGCCAUACCGCGUGGGUGAAGAAGGCCUUCGGGUUGUAAAGCCCUUUUGUUGGGAAAGAAAAGCAGCAGGUUAAUACCCCGCUGUUCUGACGGUACCCAAAGAAUAAGCACCGGCUAACUUCGUG